rnacentral:rRNA from 1 species
AAUGAACGCUGGCGGCAUGCCUAACACAUGCAAGUCGAACGAGACCACCGGGAGUAGUGGCGCAUGGGGGUGUAGCGCGUCGGAAGCGUCACUUAGGCAUGGAAUACCUCUCCGACAGGGGUGCUAACGCCGGAUAAUGUCUUCUAACCAAAGAUAUAUCGUCCUGGGAUGGGCCCGCGUUUUAUUAGCUUUUUGGGAGGGUAACAGCCUACCAAGGCGACGAUCCGUAGCUGGGCUGAGAGGGUGAGCAGCCACACUGGGACUGAGACACGGUCCAGACUCCUACGGGAGGCAGCCGUGGGGAAUAUUCCGCAAUGGGCGAAAGCCUGACAGAGCAACACCGCGUGAGUGAUGAAGGCCUUCGGAUCGUAAAGCUGUGUUGUUGGGGAAGAAAAAAUGUGGAUUUAUCCCCGGACGUCAUGACGGUACCCAAGGAAAAAGCCCCGGCUAACUACGUG